rnacentral:tRNA from 1 species
AGUGGUUUGCUCAGUUGGUCAGAGCAUGCGGCUCAUAUCCGCAGUGUCCGGGGUUCAAUUCCCUGCAUCGCCACCA